UCUGUCUGCGCCAGACGCCAACAGCCACAGACAACAGAGACGAGGACAAAGGCAACUCCAGCUCCCAGUCCAUCCGACCUGUGCCCAUCUGGCUCUUUGCUGAAAUGGACCGCAAGCUUUCCCACGACGAUGUCCAGAAGUUUUCCCACGGGGAAGGUGAGAGGUUUGCAGAACUGUCACCAUGCGAACAAGAGCUCUUCUCCCACAUGUCCCAGUGGAAAAAUAGCAGAGAACCAGACUUCUACCAAGUGAUAGACAGCAGUGACAACGAGCUGUUGCAAGGACCAGACGCCAGAGCACAAGAGCUGCCCCAGUGGCCAGAUAUUGAAGACCAAAAGCUGUCCCGACGGGAGGAGCAUGUGAGCAGUCAGGAGCUGUCCCAAUGGAGAAAGGACAUAGCCGUGCAAACGAGUCCCACGGAGCAGAACAUCGACUGGGAGAUGCUGGGCGAGGUGCUGCAGGAGGUCCAGGCACUGAAGCUGGAGCUGCUUGCCCUUCAACAGGUGUUGGCUGGGGAUGAAUCAGUAGACACAGCCAAAAAUGAAGAGAGCUCAGUGCUUUCCCCACACAGCACCCCCAGCCCCUUGCCUGCCCAGCUGAGUUCCCAAGCCCCCAGGGAGCAGCAGGAGGAGGGGGCAGCAUCAGCAUCUGUGCGGGCAGUGCAGGAGAGCGAGGAUGGGACCUUGACUGGGGAGGACAAAGACUGGGAAGAUGACAUCGAUUCAGAGCUCUCCCAGUGGGAAAAUAAGGAACAGGCAGAGGUGUCCCACAGAGAAAUGAACAACUCCCAAGAAGUGUCCCAGGGGCAAGAGUGCCCUGAGCAGGAGCCGUGCAGCCAAGGGCCGGCGCCUGCCCCGCACAGCCCCCCAGCCCCUGGCCUGCCCGGCUGGGAGCCCAGGCCCUCCGCGGGCAGCCGGCUGCCCCCGGGAAACGUCCCUCCCGCUUCAGGCGGGCGCUGCGGGCGCUGCGGGGGCUGUUCUGCUGUUCCUGCCUCAGGCCACGGACUGCAGAGUAAAACGGACACGGGAAAAAAUAAAGAGGACAAAGAUGACAUGGCAGAUGAAGAAGAUGAAGACAGAGAAGAAGAUGAAGACAAAUAGGAUGAAGAAGAGAAAAAAGAGGAAGAAGACAAAGAUGAAGAGUAAAAAGACAAGACAGAGAACAUUUAUUUAAGAGUAGAUAGAAGAAUAUAGUAAUAGGGAUUUAGUAAUACUUAGAAGAAGAGUACUAGGAAUAGGAAUAAGAAUUUCAAAAUAUGUAGAAGAAGAGGAAUAGGAAUAAGAAUUUUAAAAUAUGUACUAGAAGAAGAAAAAGAAGAAUAGGAAUAUGAAUAAGAAUAUAAAAAUACAUAGAAGUAGCAAAGAAGAAGAAUAGUAAGAAAGAGUAGGAAGUAGAAGAAGAGCCAUAAGAAGAAUAAGAAUAGAAAAAUGAAGAGAAAAUUGAAGGAAUAAGUAAAAUUAGCAAAUAAUUUCUUUUUAUUACAUAUUGUAUAUUUCUAUUUCAGUCUAUGAAAUAAAAGCAUUAGUAUACAUUAUGUUGUAAUUACAAUAUAUUAUAAUGUCCCCACGCUGUUCCCGUUAUUGAAGAAUCUGUGUGUUUUCUAACAACGUCUCACAGAACCCCAGAAUCCCUGGGGCUGGAAAAGCUCUCCCAGCCCAUGGAGUCCCAGCUGGGCCCCAUGCCCACCUUGUCCCCAGCCCAGAGCACUCAGUGCCACCUCCAGGCCUUCCCUGGCAGGGAUGGGCACUCCAAACCCCCCUGGGCAGCCCCUGCCAAGGCCUGAGCACCCUUUCCAUGGGGAAAUUCCUGCUGCUGUCCAAGCUGAGCCUCUGCUGGCCCAGCCUGAGGCCGUUUCCCCUUGUCCUGUCCCUGUUCCCUGGAGCAGAGCCCGACCCCCUGGCUGUCCCCUCCUGGCAGGGGGUACAGAAGGAUUGUUCCUUUCCUAGGCCCUCUCCUCCUGCUAUCUGCUUU
rnacentral:lncRNA from 1 species